AUGAUAAUCAUGGUUCUUCUGUCCUGGUCUGAUGAUUUUAUACAUGCCAACAAGCAUCCAUGCGAUAUGUUCUUUACUUCUGCACCUAACAGCAUGUUUUCCCACAAAAAAGUACACUGCCGCGGCAAUCAUGCGUUUUAUCAUUUUAAUCAUUUGUGUGGGGUAGUAUUAAUGUUCUUGCCGGCAUUGGUUAACAGAAAUCAAUAUAAGAACUUUAUCCUACAUGCCGUAUUUCUCUUUGUCUCUUUUUCCUUAUUUCUGUUUCCUGGGUUUCUUCUAGCGUAUUUUGAUGUUUAUUUUCAGUCAAAAGGAUGA
rnacentral:rRNA from 1 species